AGUGAUUUAGAUUUUGUUAAUGAAGUUUUGUAAUAAUUGGGCGAAUUUUGUAGAGUAGGCAAAAGCCCAAUAGAAAAAAUGACAUGUCUUUAGGGUUUGGGUGGACCCCACCCUAGUUUUUUUGGUGACUCAUUUUUGAAACCUAGGGAUUCCCAUUUGGUAGAGUGAGCCGUCAUAUGCUUGAAUAUUCCAGACCUCUCUCACAGUUUUUUUACCACAUGUUGCUGGAACGUUUCCGAGAGAGAAAUUGCAAUGGUAGUUCACGUUUCCAAUGGUUUAAUGAAUGAAGCAUUUUGAUUUUCCAUUUUGCUUUUUAUGCAUUUUUUAUUUAAGCUUAAUGCUACUUCUUUGCUGGAACGGAAAUGAUGCAAAGGUUUUUGUUGGUUGUUUUCUUGAGAGUUGUUGCCAUGGUCCAGAAUUUAGGUCUCGGUAAUUGCAAUCUUUGAAAGAGGGAGGUACCGUGAGUUGGUGAAGAAUGGAUGGGAUGGUUAUCACUUACAAUGCUUUGGUGGAAUGAGAAUGUGGGUCCAGAGCCUUAAUGCUCUUGAGCUUUGAGAUUGGAAUUUUAUUUUUCAAUUGGAAAAAGUGCUGCAGCAACUCUUGGGCAAUAUUGAUGUUGAUGAAUGAAGAAUUGAAUUGAUGAAGUUGGUGGAAGGUCAUGUCAGCAAAGGAGGCAUAUAAGCACGGUGGUGGUAUAUUUUUGGAAGCAAAGUCAUUUUGUUUUUAAAGAAGUAUAAAGAACGUAAUUCAUUGGUCAAUGAAGACGUGAUUCAUGGAGAGAAGUGUUAUUUAAUUGCUUCUUAUCUUUUAGAUGAAGGAGGCACGNAUUCCAUUGUAGUAGAAAGCAAAAAACCAUUUUAUGCUUUGGCAUUGGGAGCAUCAGACGUUGCUUUUAGCUUUGAAGAGAGAGAGAACGGUUCUUGAUUUGUUGAAAAGAGAUGAAGCACGGAUCCCAAUAGAGUAGCAAGCUUAUGGUUGAUUAUCAUUUCUUUUCUAAGGAGAGUACAAUUAGCAUAUGGAGUAGGCAUUGAAUUCUCUUUGCUAGCUGCANCAUUGAUGUCUCGGUCAAAGGAGUAACAUUUCCUUGGGAAUAGCUGCUGGAACAAGUCUCAUAUUUAGUCUGCAAUUUCUUUGAAGGGGCCCACGGUGGUAAAUUGGAGAAAGGGCCUUCAAUGCAAGUGAAUUAGUUUGGUGAUUGAAAUGUUGGUUGAUN
rnacentral:lncRNA from 1 species